CCAAUGAUUAUUUCAAGCCUUUUUCAUUAAGCUGAGAAAGCUAGUUGCUUAUCUUUAUAAUGCACCAGAAAGUAAAGGCUAGUAUUGCUGGGACUGCUUGUGUAAAUAAAGCAGGAUCAUUAAAUGCAGGAAAGGAAUCGCUACGACUGAAGACAGAUAUAUUUCAUAUUAGCCAGUCUGGCAAAAAUCAAGGUUAGCUCUCAAGAACAGGGCUCAACUAGGUGUUUUUUGUUGUUGUUGUUUUGUUUUUGUUUUGUUUUGCUUUAGCUCUACAGUUAACUGGUUUAGUUACAGAACAUUUCCUUUAUGUCUGUAAUUGUAUUCGCCCAAGUGCUGCAAAUGGGAUGUUUAAACGACCAGCUCCUCAAAUGUGAGUAAAUCAGCCGGCUAACAGAAGUCCAGUGACAGCGACGGGGAGGGAAUUAACGACGGUGUUCAGGAUGCAGGUUGUGACUCAGUGGAUUGUGAGACCUUUUUAAAAAGCAAAUGAAAGAGAAAAUGCCAGAAUGCAUUGCAUGUGGAAAGGAUAUAACUUGGCCCAUGAGCAGAAUUCUCGGCUUCACCUCAGUGCUGAAGGGGUCGCUGAAGUCCAGAACUGGAGAAACCACAAAAUGAGAAUGAAGGGCCAGAAGGAAAUCCAAGAGACAAGCUGUGUCCAAAGCUGUAGUCAACCCAGCUCUUUUCCGAUAAGGCAGAAUUAGAAGAAAAGGGGCUUACAUUUCAACACACUUGAUCCUCUUCUAAACUUGGCUCACUUCUAGCCCAUGAUAGGGCACUAGAAAAGUCCCCUGGUAUCUCUGAGCCAUGAUUUCAGUAUCAGUAUAACCAUUAUCUCUACUUCCAAGGAACAAUGAAAAGGUGAAGUCACUAAUAAUUUUUAAAUAUUUUAGGAAAAAGCCAUGCAGUCAUGCAUGCCUAUAAUCCUAGCUACUUGGGAGGCUGAAGCAGGAGGAUUGCUUGAGCUCACAAGUCCAAGACCAGUGUAGGCAACAUAGAGAGACCCAGUCCCUUCCCCACAAAAAGCUGACAUUAAUGAACUAAUGAUUAAUACAUAUGAAUUGCUGGAUUCACCCCAUCUACAUCCUUCAGGAAGGAAGACCUUGGAUCUUUCAUGCCUCCAGAAACCUACACACAGUCACUUCUUCAGACCCUAAGGGUGUGCACAGGCUGCUAUGAAGACAAAGACUGAACUUCACCAGACUGUAGGUGAACAGCUACAUUACGCCAAGUUUCUCCUAAAAAAAUGGGAGGCGUUUU